GUUGUUCUCUGAAAAUUUUCAUAAUGUCUUAAUCAUCAAUCAAUGUGUUAUGGCGGUAGCUCCACUCCUCCCCCAGAGUUUAAUCGAGAUCAUUGUUGAGCACACUGCACUCUCUGUGCACCACCGUGCAUAUCCUCAUCUUCAUCGUAUGCCUCUUGUGCUUGCUUCCUGCGCAUCUCCUCUUCAAUGUUGACAUCGUGGAGAGUGGUCUCUUCACAUUCAUCCAAUUCCAUAUCUGAGAGCUGCACUGAGGUCCUGGGAGGCAGAACGCCCUCCAGCGCCUUGCACUGUUCGGGGUUCAAGGAGUCUGGGAACUCAACACUGAAGUGGAUGUAAAGUUUGCCCUUCAUGAAUGGCCUCUGGUACAUAGGCAUACCCUCAUCGUUUAUGGCCUUGAAUUGGUCUGUGCAAUUAAGAAUGGAAAACAUUGAGCAAAUGCCUCAACAUGCAAUACAAGCAGAUGUACUGAAACACAAACAGUUACAUACCAGGCUUCACUACUUCACCGGGAAGUGAUUUGAUGAGUAGCUGUCGGCCAUCCAAAUGAGUCAGAAUAAAUUGGAAACCACACAGAGACUCGACGAGAGACAAGGUAUGCUCUACAAAGAGGUCAUCGCCCUUUCUCUUAAACUUGGGGUGCUCUUUUUGUUGUAGGACAAAGACAAUGUCCCCAGUAACAGUGUCGGGCUGAACAAACAGGCAAAAUGAAAACCAAUCAAGAUCACAUGUUACAGAGAGACAAUUACCAAGUUUUGGAAGUUACUCAAGAAAAAUUCAGUCUCACCGCUUCAUCUGCUUCACCAGGGAAUGUAAUCUUUUGUGCAUUUUGCAUACCCUUCUCCACAAUAACUUCCAAAACUUUUUUCUCCUGAACAACCUUUUCACCCUUGCAUUGUGAGCAGCGAUCUUUAUCAUUGAUGGUCUCACCAGUUCCUUUACAUUCAUUGCAAGGAUGCUGCAUUUGCUGAAUCAUAGAGGGGCCAAGGUGUCUGAUGGAAACUUUCAUACCAGAACCUUGACAGCCAGGACACUUCAUUGAAGCACCAGAUUUAGAACCCUUACU
rnacentral:lncRNA from 1 species